ACUCCUACGGGAGGCAGCAGUGGGGAAUAUUGCACAAUGGGCGCAAGCCUGAUGCAGCCAUGCCGCGUGUAUGAAGAAGGCCUUCGGGUUGUAAAGUACUUUCAGCAGUGAGGAAGGUGGAGUCGUUAAUAGCGGCCUCAUUUGACGUUAGCUGCAGAAGAAGCACCGGCUAACUCCGUGCCAGCAGCCGCGGUAAUACGGAGGGUGCGAGCGUUAAUCGGAAUUACUGGGCGUAAAGCGCAUGCAGGCGGCCUGUUAAGUCAGAUGUGAAAGCCCGGGGCUUAACCUCGGAAUUGCAUUUGAAACUGGCAGGCUAGAGUCUUGUAGAGGGGGGUAGAAUUUCAGGUGUAAGCGGUGAAAUGCGUAGAGAUCUGAAGGAAUACCAGUGGCGAAGGCGGCCCCCUGGACAAAGACUGACGCUCAGAUGCGAAAGCGUGGGGAGCAAACAGGAUUAGAUACCCUGGUAGGAUAGCG
rnacentral:rRNA from 1 species